rnacentral:rRNA from 1 species
CCUACGGGAGGCUGCAGUGAGGAAUAUUGGUCAAUGGACGAGAGUCUGAACCAGCCAAGUAGCGUGAAGGAUGACUGCCCUAUGGGUUGUAAACUUCUUUUAUAAAGGAAUAAAACGAGGCACGUGUGCCUUUUUGCAUGUACUUUAUGAAUAAGGAUCGGCUAACUCCGUGCCAGCAGCCGCGGUAAUACGGAGGAUCCGAGCGUUAUCCGGAUUUAUUGGGUUUAAAGGGAGCGUAGAUGGGUUGUUAAGUCAGUUGUGAAAGUUUGCGGCUCAACCGUAAAAUUGCAAUUGAUACUGGCAGUCUCGAGUACAGUUGAGGUAGGCGGAAUUCGUGGUGUAGCGGUGAAAUGCUUAGAUAUCACGAAGAACCCCGAUUGCGAAGGCAGCUUACUAAACUGUGACUGACAUUGAUGCUCGAAAGUGUGGGUAUCAAACAGGAUUAGAUACCCUUGUAGUC